AAAACCCGGAAGGACCCCGCCGAAGGUUUUCUCCGGUUCGGGAGAGAGACGGAGUCCCGCUCUGUCACGCAGGCUGCCAGGCUGGCGUACAGUGGCGCAAUCUCAGCUCGCUGCAACCUCCACCUCCUGGGUUCAAGCGAUUUUCUUGCCUCUGCCUCCUGAGUAGCUGGGAUUACUGGCACACACCACCAUGCACAGGGAGAUAUGAGACAUCAAUCAAUAUAUGUAAGAUGUACAUCAGUUUCGUCUGGAAAGAUGGGACAACAUGAAGCAGGGAGGGGGCUCCCUGGUGACAGGGAAUUUUCUUGUGGGCAAAUUGUGAGGGAGUUCCUUGUUCAAAAUGCCAAGAACCUGGAUGACUCAUAGUCAAGACCCUCCACCAGUAACAUAUAUUGGCGAGCCAGCCAGGAGCUUGGAACCCUCGGUGGACAGUGCCUAAGCACAGAGGCAACCACAGGUUUCUAACAGGGCCACUCUCUGGUGAAACUGAAAGGUUUCUGUGUGAAAGUGCCUGACCACCACUGCCCAAUUCAGACCACUACAGGAAACACUCCAU
rnacentral:lncRNA from 1 species